GAACAGAAACAACAAGCCUCAGCAUCGGAUCUGUUGCCUGUGGUUUAGCACCAGUUUAUUAUUAGCAUAAUGAAAUGUCUUGUUCUUUAUUUUCAUUAGAAUGAGUCAGAAUUGGCUAGUCUAUCGUUUAUUUUCACACAUGAGUAGAUAUAAAACACUUGAAAAAGGUCAUUGAGAGAAGCCUAAGUUUUGACAUGUACAACAGUGUCUCAAUAUGAUUGCUUGGAUUUCUUGGACAUCCUUUUUUUAGAGAAAGAAGAAUAAUAUAAUGUUGAUUGUUAAGUCUGAGCAUCAGACUUAAUGGUUUCAUUACCAGUUUAUACACAGUGCCCUUACAAUGGAUUAUCCUGUAGAAGAAAAAAUAAAACUCAAGAAAAUCAAGUUUGGCCCAGAGAUAUUUUAUGGAGACAAUCCAGAUGUUGUGCCCUACGUUCAGUUGUCUCCCCUGGAGGAUGAAAUUGUUGCUAGUUACACUGGCCCAGACUCUGGAUUGGCUUUUGCUGAGGGCUACACAGAAAAUAAUUAUUAUGUCAACCAAGUGGCUGGAGUUAGAGACUGGAAUUUAAGACAGCAGCAGGCUUAUGGGAUAUGCAUAUCAUUGUAUGAGCAGCACCCUAUCAGUGGCAAAAUUUCUGGAGAGCCAAUAGCUGACUGUUUUGCACUGUGUGCUAGAAGAAACAACACCAUACUGAUGGUGGCAGAUGGUGUGAACUGGGGUGAGAAGUCUCGUCUAGCUGCUCGCUGUGCUCUGUAUGGCAGUAUGAAAUAUCUCAACUAUAAAAUAUUUGAAAGGAAGCACAAACCAGAAAAUACUCAGGAUGUAGUUAGACACUUAAGAAAAGCUCUGGAUGAAGCACACAGGGCCAUCAUGGCCAAGGAAGGAGGCCUGACAACAUUGUGCCUGUGUAUGAUUUGCCCUGUGGAUAACUCUGACCAAAAUGCUGUGUGCUGUGUCAACGUAGGGGACAGCUUUGCCUUCAUUUAUUCAACCAAUCAGGGUAUCAGGGAGGUGACCAUAGGCUCACAUGAUGUGGGCAGUGAAAGAGAUAUACGUGAUGCUGGUGGCGCCAUCGGCCCGGUAGAUGGGCAGAAUCCUGAGCUGCACAACCUGACAUGCUCCGUCACAUUCUGCCACCAUGGGGACAUAGUGUUCCUUACUACCGAUGGAAUCUCUGACAAUUUUGAUCCGGUUGUGACUAAAAUUGCUCUCCCACAGAGAGCCAAUGAUUCCAACUUUAACAGUAAAGAGAAGUACAACUCAAAUGGCAGCUUGAAAUUCAAGCCAGAGCUGAGUCCAAAAGAGAGACAUGUUUAUGCAUUAAAGGAGAUGGAAAGAGUGGUCCAUGAGUAUGAACUGGUGACAGAAGAGGCUUGUUCUGCUCAGUCAUUCUGUGGUGCACUGUUGCAGCAUGUCUUGACUCUCACAGAUGACAAAAGAAAAAUAAUAGAAAAUCCUGCCAUAUAUGCAAAAAGAAAAAUGACAAAAAAGGACAGGCAGUCCAGGGACUCAGAAAUAGUAGAAAAAAUGUCUAAAGCUCCUGGCAAGCUGGACCAUGCUUCCAUAGUGGCUAUUGAGAUAGGUGCUUUUGGGAAGCCUGUGGAUGACAGUGCUUCAGCAGUUGCAGUGAAUGCCACAAGAGUGACUUCCCCUGCUGCAGUCAGGACAGUUUCCUCACCUAGAACAAUUCCAGACUCUCCUCCAACUCCAACCAAUCUCCCACUCUGUGGAUCUGUGCCGCUCUCACCUUCUAGUAACCACUCCAAGAAAUCUGGCCCAAGAAAGUUGUUUGCCAAAUUAAGAAGCUUACCCUCAUCUCCUACGUCUCCUAAUCCCCCUGUCCUCUCCUCGUCUGUGCCAAACCAACCCUCAUUUAGGCCCUUUUCACCUCCACCUCCUCAGCGUCAACCUUUGUCACCUGUCAACAACUCAACCCCAAAGUCCCCAACAAAGGUGGAAGCUAACUCAGAGUCCAGGAAAGGUCUGGAUCUUCAGUUCUCCCCUAGGAAGUUUCCCAAACGAUACCACCGUAGUAAGACUGAGGAACUGCGCACCCCUACCUCCCCAUCUAUUGCAGAGUCUCCAUUAGAAAUAGACGUCUCACCUCAGCCACCGAGGACACGAUCUCGGCCAAGGUCUUGUAUAACUUUUGAGUCCAGUGUUUAGAGGGCAUGGUAGCAUGUUAAGUUGGGGCUGUUGGCACAGUUUUAUUUUAUCUCCUUGUUGUUGAAAGCUUUUUUGUGUGUGUGUGUGUGUGUGUGUUUGUAUUUUGAAAUGUGAUCCAGCUGUGUGCUCAGUGUUUAGAAGCAUGUUACAGUUGUUUCCAUUAGGUAUUGGUCUAUUUGACAGCUGAACAAAACAAAUGUAUUCUCACACUUGUCUCAGUUCACUUGUACUAUUAUUUUAUCUGUGUCCUUAGCUGGCACAUGAUGCUUUGUUUCUAAAUAUUGUUAUAUGUGCAUGUCUGGAAAGCAUUGUGCUUCUCUUUCUGCAUUACAUAUAUAUUCGCCCCUCUGCAUACUGUUUAGUAAUGAAGUCACUGCAAUUUUGUUUUGAUUACUUCUAAAACUUGCUAAAAAAAAUUUUUUUUGGGGGGAUAUAUCUUACUGAUAUAUAUUGCAAAGAUUUUUUCAUUAGGACAUUAAGAAAAAAGAAAAAUUCUUUAUUUAUAAGAAACAUAUAAGUCAUUACAAUGUUAACAAAAAAAUCUAGAACACAAGUGUGAUAAUUUUGCUUUUAAAUUGCUUGUAUAACAUUACAAUGAUUGGUAGAUAGUGAAUGCAGAAAAUAAAUAGCUUCAAGAUUUUUAACUCAAGAUAGUAACUAUUUAACUAGCUAUUUCUUGUUUACUAUAGAAUUAACAUUUACUUUUGUGCCAGACAUAAGAAAAAAGCAUUUUUACUUGAUGAAAUAGUAUUUUUAUUUGCAAAGAUUUCAAGAGAAAAAAAAAAUUUGAUAAAAUAGUAUUUUUUAUUUACAAAGAUUGAUGAGAAAAGAGUCCUUGUAAACACAACAAAUUUCCAUAAGGAUCAAUAAAGCAGUCUUAGUCUUAGGGAAAAAGAGGGGAAAAAAUUACUUUUGACUUAAUGAAAUUGUUUUCUUGUUAUUUGCAAACUUUUAAAAUUCUUUUCUUCAUUUUCUGUUCCUCUUCUGAUCUUAUAAUAAUAGAGCUGAAUAAUCCUUCUGAUCCAAUCAGUAUGUGAUGCAUGUCUCCAUAUUUUCUUUUUGUUUAUUGAGUAACACAUUUUAUCCUUUUUUCACUCAGCUUACUUUUUUAUAUUUACUUCCCUUAGGCCAUACUAUUUACACAUGUUUAGAAUUGUAUUUACUUUGUUACCACAUUAGUUUGUGCAAUUUAUUGUUGAGAAUUACAAACAAAAUUCAGCUCAAGUAUUUUUCUUGUAUACUUUUACAUAUACGUAUAGAUACAACUGACUUGAUUGACACAGGGUAAACUGGCAGCUAUUUGAUUUCUUGAACAAUAUAUGAAUUCUUUAUGAUGUAUCAUUUGUAGCACAUUGACAUAUAUAAGUAUCAAUUAUUAGUUCAAACUUAAAGAUUGCAAAUAAUCUAUAAUACAUAUAUACAGAAUAUAUAUAUAAAAUAUAUUUAUACAUGAUAUAAACCAGUGAUGCCCAAAGUACGGCCCGCGGGCCGACGUGGUUUCAUCCGGCCCGCCGAAACGUCGGCACAAAAGUAGAAAAUCCUCACCCCUUCAAAAAUGUUAGGGCUCUCACUUUUUCUCUGAUGGAUUGUAAAAAAAUAACGAUUGUGUGUUUAUGAGUUUAUGAAAUGGGACUCUGAAUGUAGAAUCUACCAAGAAAAGUGAAUGUAUCUUUUUUGUGGAACAUGAUAAUAAGCCAACAUAUUUGUUUUGUAAAGAAAGUCUGGCUGUUUCAGAAACAACAACAUAUACAGCGGCAUUAUAAAACAAAUAUGAAGACCUUUUUAGUUUGAGCCGAGUAUAAAAAAAAGAUUGGUCAAACUACGCCUAGAGAUUGGAGGAUCGAUGGGAAUAUCAAUCAAAAAGAGACAAGAAAAUAAGUUGGUGGUAAAGGUAGCUACAAUGUCGCUCACAUUUUAAGUAGAGAAAUGAACCCAUUUUUAGACACGUAGAAAAUGAUAGACUUUAAAUAUCUCAUUAAUUAAUACUAGAUCCAAUUUUUCAAAUAGUUUCAGGUGAAUUUGGAUUUCAUUUUUUUACCUUUUUGUUGAUGUGGCCCGCGACACGCAUGUCGAAAGUUAAAAUGGCCCGCAGGUCGAAUUCGGUUGAGCAUCACUGAUAUAAACCAUGAAAGCCAGGCAGCAACAACUCUUUAAUUAUGUUCAAGUUGGGGUAAUUGUUAUUUAUCAUUAAUACCAAGUUUCUGUUGAUUCUUACUUUCUUUUUAAUAUCUGACAGCACUUGGGAAUAAAUUCUAUCAAUUCUUACUUUCUUUUUAAUAUCUGACAGCACUUGGGAAUAAUUCUGUCAAUUCUUACUUUCUAUUUAAUAUCUCACAGCUCUUAUGAAGAAAUUCUGUCAAUUCUUACUUUCUUUUUAAUAUCUCACAGCUCUUAUAAAGAAAUUCUGUCAAUUCUUACUUUCUUUUUAAUAUCUCACAGCUCAUAUGAAGAAAUUCUGUCAAUUCUUACUUUCUAUUUAAUAUCUCACAGCACUUGGGAAUAAAUUCUGUCAAUUCCUACUUUCUUUUUAAUAUCUCACAGCUCUUAUGAAGAAAUUCUGUCAAUUCUUACUUUCUUUUUAAUAUCUCACAGCUCUUAUGAAGAAAUUCUGUCAAUUCUUACUUUCUUUUUAAUAUCUCACAGCACUUGGGAAUAAAUUCUGUCAAUUCUUACUUUCUUUUUAAUAUCUGACAGCACUUGGGAAUAAAUUCUGUCAAUUCUUACUUUCUUUUUAAUAUCUGACAGCUCUUAUGAAGAAAUUCUGUGGCUUUGAUACACAUCACUUAUGAAGAAGUUAUGUUCAUUUGUACUUCUCUACUUAGUAUUGCAUAUCACUUAUGAAGAAUAAUUCAAUUACAAAAUUACAGCUAAAUAACUCCUUUUUCUCAAGGUUUAGAAAAAAUAAAAUAGAACAGAUGACACAAACACUGUUAGCAAUAUAUAGGCCUAUAUAUUUUCUAGUCCAGUUUCUACAAACUCAUUUCAAGCUGCAAAAGAACAUUAAGUCUGUAAGAGUCACAGUAUUGGGUCUAACAGGAUUGUGUCUAGUUCUCUCUCUCUCCUCUCUUUACCAAUAAUGGUGAGUGUUUACAAAUGAAGCUUUAUGUUAUUUUUCUUUUUAUAUUUUUCUCAGGAGUUUUUAAAAGAAUUGCGACUUCAAGGGAACUCACUGGAAUUAUAUUAGCAAGAUCCUUACUUGGCACCUUCAGGGAUACUUACUACCAAAGAAAAUGAUGGAGUCAGACAUGUAGAGCAAGAGCUUCAACUACAGUCUUUGUGUAGUGAAGACAUAUACAAGUAAAGACAAGAAGAAUAUUUAUGGAAGAAUACAAUAAUAGAACAUCUUUUAAUUCACCAUAUUGUAGUCAUGUUUGUUUUGCUCAAGAAAUUCCACAACCAGAAUGCAGAAAUGAGUGAUAAUUCUAGUUUGCCUAUUUCAGACUAUUUAUUUGUCCAGUAAAAUAAUUAAAUUAUUAUUUGAAUCUAUAAUUUUUGUUUUACCAUGUUUAGACACAAUGUCUUUUUCAUAACCCAUUUUCUGGGUUGUAGCUUCAAUUUUUAGUAUGUUGUGCCACUGUCUUUAAACUAAUGUAGUUCAUCUCUUCAUAGUGCAUUUGCUUAAAACUCUGAAUAAAAUUUUACAUUAAAAUAAAAUGAUCAUUUAGAAGCUACCUUCAUGAUGCCAAGUCUGAGAGUUGAGUGUAAUUAUGUGAAUACAUUGAAAUGUUAACAAAAUAGAUGACGUAACUCCCUAAGAAAUAUUUUUUUUAAUGUUCACAAAAUAAUGGAUUUGUAGAUUUAAAACAUUUAUAAUAACUGUAAUUAUUUCUUACAUGAUGAAUUUAUUGAAUAGAAAAAGAUUUUUUCCUUAGUUCUCAUUGAUAUCUUUGUCCCCAGUCACCCUUCACAAUGCUAGCUCAUUACUGAAGUCAUUUGGCUCAAACAUGGAUAGACACAUGCAUAUAUUCAUGUGGAUCUAUAGCCAUUAUUUAUUUAACGGGGUUAUGUUGGAAUUUAUAUCCAUUUCCUGGACAAAAUAGAUGUAGCAAUGCUUAAAUCAAGUCCAUUUAUGUUUUAAAUUAUUUUAUUUGUGUUUUUAUUUCUCUAUAACUACAACAUGUGAUCUAAUCAAUCUAUAAUAUUUUGUUUUUCAAUCUUCAUUUUAUCACACAAAAAAAGGCUGUGCUUACUUGUGAAAAGAAAAAUAUUAAGACAAUUGUUAUCAAAUUAUUUCACUAGUGAUUCAGAAAGUCAAUCAUGAGUGUUAGUGACUGAUUUUGUCUUUUUUUUUUUUACAUUAAAAUACAUUAGAAUGUCUUUUAUCUAUGGUGAAUUAUAUAGAAUUCUCUUGAAUUAAACCAAGUAUAAUUGCUGAAUACAUAGUGGGUUUUUGAUUUUCUUGUUAAGAACAAACUUUGUUGUUGAUAGUUUCUUGAAAUAAUUUCAAAUAACUUGGCUUGUUAUUGGUGGAUCUUUAUUAGUUUAUGAUAUCAAUGUUUAUUAAUAAAAUAUAAAAUAUUGAUAAACUAGCUCAGUUUGAAUGAGGUGAAGGCUCAGGGAGGGAAAAACAAUUUCAAUGGGAACUUCUCUACUAAAUUAUAAGAAAAGUUUGAAUACAAAUUAGUACAUGUACUGAAGAGUGGAGGCCACUGUAAAUGGCAUGAACAUUUUCUGAUGAAUGAAUUCAAUCAGGGGCAAUAAGGAGAGUGUUUAUUAUCUGAUAAAAAUAAUAAUUGAAAAUAGCUUUACAAGCUCUCAAAUUGAAUUGAUUUUAUUGAAAAUCCUUGUAAAUAGUAACUAAAUUGUGCAUGACUUACUGACCUUCCCAGUGUGGCUAACAAACCACACUGUCAAAACCCUGUGGUAAAAAAAAGUUAGGUCUUGAUUCCACUUGUGUACAUGUUCCAUCAAGUCAUUUGGUCUACAUUUCUCUACUUUAAGAAUUUAAUUUUUUAUUUUAAACCUAAGUAGAUUUAUCUCUUAUACCGGUAUAAGUAGUAGCAGUAUAUACUGAUAAAAAUGAUAUGAAAUAUGAAUUACACUAGAUGCAUUGGUAUUAGAUUAAAAACAUAAUAUGUGCUGUUCCUUGUAUAAUAUACAAAAGAUUAUUUGAAGUGUUUCAAACUUGUCACUGCAAACAAAUUAGACUUGAAUGAAAACAUAAGCAAUAAGACAACUCAGACUACUUGAUCAUUUUAAGACAAUCAAAGUUGUUUUUUUUUCUUAACUCUUUUUGCCUUUGUUACAUUUAGAAAAACCUUUGGAUCAUUUGUUCAAGUUUUAUUAUUUGUGAACUCAUCCAUUUCUACAUUUACUAAUAACCAUAUCUUUAUUGUAACAUUUAUAGAUCAUUUCAAAGUUGUGAUAGCAAACCAAAGCUCAUUUAUUUAAAUCAUUGUACAUAUGUUAUUGUAGAGUGGAGUGGUUUAUUUUGUGGAUGAAUAAUACAUUGGCUCAUUGAUAUUUAAUUUGUAUUACUAUAUUCUGUGCUCUUUGUGCUACAAUACAAUUUUUAUUUUAGGUUUUGUUUAAUUGUUUCAUACUUGGGACUAUGCUUUCUUUAAUUUCAUCAAAACAUAAUUAAUCUUUUUCUUUUUAUGCAGAACUUCAAAAUGUUUUUACACAUUGAAUAAUUUUCUAUCUAAAUGGUUAAAAAAAGAUUUGUCUGAUUUAUCUAGUCCUUUGAACACUGGUGACAUUGAGAUUCCAUUCUGAUUGUCUGUCUACUGAAAAGAUACCAGAUCAUUAGAAGAAAAUAUUUUAAUUCAAACAACCUUAAAACACUGUUUGACAGCGUAGAUCCUGAGAAAGUACUGAGUUUUACUCCUGGGAAGUAGUACUGACUGAUAAAAUUGAAGAAAGUUUAUUUUGGACACACAAUAGAUUCUUAUUAACAAAAAAUUUUAAUAGAUGAAUUAUCUACUUAUUUUAACACUUACAAAUUAACUAUAGAUUUUAAUGUUCCAACUGUACGUGUUGAAUAGAGGAGUAGGUCUUAGAAGGACUAAGGGCAGGACAUACCGCUAGCCUAAAUUGUGCCGAGGUGCCAUAAAAUCUAAAUCUGAUUGUCUGUCACCAGUAGCAGUCAUCUAUAUCUUACUUUAAUGUAUAAAGUUUUGGAUUUUUUUUGUCUCCAUGUAAGUUUUUGGUUCUUUUGAUCGUGUUUCUAAAAUGGUACCUUAAAUAUAAUUAGUAUUAAAAUAUUUCAUUGUUAUUUCUAUUCAGUUUUAGCUUGCCCUCAAUAUAAUAAGGUGAACAUUGUUAACAUGGUCUUUUUUCAGUGACUAAAGCAUAGCAGUAGAAGUUAAGAUGAACUAGAAUUCAUUGUAUGUUAAACUUUGUUACAAUUUUUUUUCUUAGCAUUUUUCAAUAUGUGCCAAUGUUUUAUAAUAGAAAUAUGUCUAGGUAAAAAUUUGGUUGUGAAACAUGUUUAGUUACAUAAGAGCUUUGAUCUCUCAUUUUGGCUACAUAAUGCACAGUUACAUUUGAGGCUUUCAUUUUGUAAUUGUUAAUAUUUCAUACGCUAGGUGUUUACUUGUAGCUAAAUUGAACUAGUUAACUAGGUUAAAGUAAAGUAAGUACACUUCAGACCUUGUGCUCUAUAGGGAAGAGGACAUAAAGGACAUCUUUUUCUGUGGCCUUUCCUUUCUUACUGUCAGGUGCCCAUCAGAAUUAGGUGGACUUCAUUCCCACUCCCAGUGUUCACAGAAUUGUGAACCUGAGACCACUUGGUUCAGAAGCCAAACACUUCACCACUCAGCCACCAUGUCCCAUUUUAUCAUUUUAAAUAAACUGAGGGAAUUAAUUCAUCCUGUUGCAUAACAUAUAGUGAUAUGUGUCUUCAACUGAAUUGUGAUGACAUACAAGUGUGAUAUAGUUACACUAUGUAAAGAGGAAAAGAAAACACCAUCAGAAGCAGAAGAGUCAAAUUAUUUAAUUUAAUAAUAGAACCUUAAUCUAAUAAUAUGUUUCUAACAGUGCAUUGCAUUGACUCUCCUGUUAUAAAAGUUUUUUGAGGCAAAAACUAAACUUUUCACUUGAGAACUAGACUAAGUAGAGUUAACAUUAAACAAUAGUAUAGUUAUAAUCCUCAAAUAUCAGGUCAGGUACACACUGCAUUUUGGGUAAAAAUAAUAUUUAUUGGCAAGUGUUUGAUUCCAUCUUAAGAAUCAACAAUAAUGUUCAUUUAGGCAAAUAAAUAGGUGAAAUGUGAAUUUGGUCAAGCUGUGAGACAUGAUUCAUUGGCCAAAAUCUUCUUGAUGUGAAAAAAAGAUCUGGUUGGACUUAUUUACUGAUACUCUCAAAAUAGGUCUGUUUCUUGAUGCUCUUAAGAUAGGCCAGUUUCUAGAGCCACUCAAUAGUAUGAAUGUUAAUAGGGAAAGACACAAAGAUAAAGGCACAUCUCAUUUUCCAUAUGCUAGACCAAAUUUGUAUAAAUACUGAAUCAGCCAAGGAAACCAACGACUUGGCAGAGUUUAAGUCAUUGAAUAUGCAGUGACCCAGGGACACACAUAGGACGUAAAUAUUUUCUUUUUUGAGGUAACAUUUGUAUUUUAUAAGAUAAGCUAUAAUUAUAUGCACCCCCUUGUACAAGUUGAAGGGUCAUGUGAAGAAAUGAACUUUGCAGUAUUUUUGUAACAAAAAUUAUUUCAACCAAAUUGUUCUUACUAGUAAGCAUCUACCACAUUGACAUUGUCAACUAAUUAACUAAAUAUUAUUCAACAAGUGUUUUAAAUAGAUGAAUUGUACAGACAAGAUUUGUACUCUCAAGUAUUAGAUCAAUGAGUUAUCAUGUCAAGUGAUUUUUUUUUUAAUAUCUUGUUUUUUAGUUUAAUUUUUUUUUAAAUUAAUAAAAUCACAAAUUACUGGGUAUUUUAUGUAAGUUAAAGGAAACUGCUGUGCCUUUGUGUCUAUAACUUAAUGAUAGUGUCAAGUUAGUGAAGUAUCUCUAUCCUUUACCAUGAGUCAUGGCAGAUACAAAACGAUGACUGAUGAAGGAUUCAUGUAAGCAAUCACUAAGAGUUGUUUAGUUUUGUAUUGUUAGUGUAUCACUUAUAAACUUGACAUCAAUGGUUUAAUCAUCCUACAUUUGAUAACUAUUUCACAAAUGUGUCUCUUUGUAAGGACCUGCUGAUGUUUUCACAGUUGAAAUGUUCAUUACUUUUUUUUGUUUACAUUUAUGUGACAAAGGUUUACAAAAACUUGACUAAUUUUUUGUAUGAAAUGAAACAAACAUAACUGAAUGAAAGUAAAAAAUAAAUGCAAACAUUUGUUGCAAAAAAUAAAAGCUAUUGUUACAAUUGUAAAAGAUGUAGCAUAAAAAGCAGUAAAGCCUGAAAACAAAUGUUUGAUAAACUGACACUAGUGCAACAUCAAUUAGGGACUUCUCUAAUUAAUCAUUCAUAAGAAAAAUGCUGGGAAACAAUUGAUUGCCAAAGAACUUUGUCUUCUUCAUUGUGAAUCUGUCCUGAAUGUAAUCACCUGAAAGUUGCUGUAGUGCUAGUCAAACUCACUGUUUCUUGUCUGCAAGAACACAAACAUUCAGCUAAUAUUAGUCUUAUCUACCAUUCUUAGCUCUGCCUUAUUAUGGGUGUUAUGCAUUCUUGUGUUGCUUUAAGUUACAUUGUAUUUUCUUUACAUGUGUAUACGUGUUACCAAAAUGAAACUUGUCAAACAUGAUAGAAGACAAAAGUGCUUGUGAAAUAGAAGACUGCUUUGUAUUUUGUUUGUAAGAUCUAGUCAUUGGUUCAGGUUUCAACUCAUCUGCUUUGUUUACUAACCAUUUAGUGAGGUCUGUGUUUCAAAUAUAUGCUUUGUUUACUAACCCCUUAGUGAGGUCUGUGUUUCAAAUAUAUGCUUUGUUUACUAACCAUUUAGUGAGGUCUGUGUUUCAAAUAUAUGCUUUGUUUACUAACCCCUUAGUGAGGUCUGUGUUUCAAAUAUAUGCUUUGUUUACUAACCCCUUAGUGAGGUCUGUGUUUCAAAUAUAUGCUUUGUUUACUAACCCCUUAGUGAGGUCUGUGUUUCAAAUAUAUGCUUUGUUUACUAACCCCUUAGUGAGGUCUGUGUUUCAAAUAUAUGCUUUGUUUACUAACCAUUUAGUGAGGUCUGUGUUUCAAAUAUAUGCUUUGUUUACUAACCCCUUAGUGAGGUCUGUGUUUCAAAUAUAUGCUUUGUUUACUAACCAUUUAGUGAGGUCUGUGUUUCAAAUAUAUGCUUUGUUUACUAACCAUUUAGUGAGGUCUGUGUUUCAAAUAUAUGCUUUGUUUACUAACCAUUUAGUGAGGUCUGUGUUUCAAAUAUAUGCUUUGUUUACUAACCAUUUAGUGAGGUCUGUGUUUCAACUCAUUCAAAUAUUUGCUCUGUUUACCCCCCCCCCCUUCCCCACCAUAUGAAUGUAUUGUGUGAUGCUGCUGCAUUUGUACAUUAUGCAAUUUUAUUUAAGGUACAUUUACACAACUUGAUAUGCCCAUCUUCAUAAUAGCUUGCUGGUAAUGAACAUAGCUGGCUAGAAGCUGAGUUUAGGCAGAAAAAAAUUCCUUUGAACUUUUCAUUGCUAUUAACAUGCACAAACUGUAAGCGUUAUAUUAUUUGUAAGAAAUUAUUUUGAAGAUAUAUGGAGUUGUUUUUUCAACUUACACUUUGGUUAUUGAUCCUAUAAACACCAUCAAAAUAUUGGAUGUUUUCAAUUCUAAUUAAUGACGAAAGUUUGGCUGCACACAUUUGAAGAUUGUGGAUAUGUCUAAGUUACAUAUUGCUUGAAGAAAACACUUAGAACUCAAUAUUUAAUUUUUCUUUUUGCUGACUUCUUUGUGGAUUACUUUGACCAAUGUGUCUUUGUGUUUCUUUGUGUGUAUGAUAGGGGUGUUCCUAUUAGCAUAUAUAUUGGUCAGUUUGUGUGUGUAUGUUAGGGGUGUUCCUAUUUGCAUAUAUAUUGGUCAGUUUGUGUGUGUAAUGUAGCAACCAAAACAUUUAUGUUUCUUUUGGAAGUGCCAAGAGAAAUAUUUAUUUACUAGUUGUUCCCAAGUUUCUGUUUACAACUCAAAGCUUCUCCUGUUUGGUACUCAAAAUGAAAUAGAAAUGUCUUACAGCUAUUGAUUGACUCUUUCACCCAGAAGACACUGAAGACACUAUCAUUGUUUGCAGUUGAAAUGUUCAACAUUUAAUAAACACACACACAGAGGCCAGUGCACAAUGUUAGCUCCACCAUUGAUUUAGUCUGUUAUACUAGCACUAGAACAUUUCUAUAAGCACAUCCUGACUAGGACUAUAUCUUAUAACUACUUUCUAUAAAAAUAAUUAGAAUCAAGUGUUUUUUUUUUUGUGAAGUUGUAGAUUAAAUUGCACAUUUUAAUAUAAAUAUGACAAUAAUAUGUCUAAUUUAUUAAAUAAUUUUCUGUGUAUUAAGACCAUGAAUUUAUUUCUUAAAAUAAGUUGUAAUUGACAAGGUUAUUUAUGCUAUCAAUGUCUGUAUAUUCACUAGAUGCAUAUAAAUAAUGAAUGUUGUCAUAGCAGCAGCUAACUUAAUUAAUCAUACUAGAUGGGCCCACACAUGACAACUAACCUAAUUAAGUAUACUUGAUGGGGCCCCACAUGACAGCAAACGUAAUAAUGUAUAUUGGAUGGGCCCACACAUGACAUCUAACCUAAUUAAGUAUACUGGAUGGGCCCCCUAUGACAGCUAACCUAAUUAAGUAUACUUGAUGGGGCCCCACAUGGCCUAUUUAUGGGAAAAUAGCACCCAUGUUGUCCUUCAUUACCAGACAUUCCCCCUAAGUUUGACCAAAGCUAUUUAUCAAGCAGCUCAGUUUGUAUUGUAGUGUCUUGUUUGUUAUCAUCAAUGAAAAACCAACAUGAGUCAAGACUUGAUUGUGUAGUCAAUAAUGAAUUCAAACAGAAGUUUUACUUGGAUCUAUUUGUCGCUUAGUCUUAGUCCAUCAUCACUCUCUGCUGUAUAGUACUGCCUUGAUGUCGUAAUCAGUUUGCUAAUACUUAGACUCUGGUUGUCUUGUCACUUUGUAGUCUGUAUUUCAACAUGACUUCAUUGAACUGUUUUUAUGAUCAAUACAAUUUUGAUAUAUC